UUACGGGAGGCAGCAGUGGGGAACUUUCCGCAAUGGGCGAAAGCCUGACGGAGCAACGCCGCGUGAGGGAUGAAGGCCUCUGGGCUGUAAACCUCUUUUAUCAAGGAAGAAGAUCUGACGGUACUUGAUGAAUAAGCCACGGCUAAUUCCGUGCCAGCAGCCGCGGUAAUA
rnacentral:rRNA from 1 species